CCCCUAGUAACGGCGAGUGAAGAGGGAAAAGCUCAAAUUUUGAAUCUGGUGUCUUUGACUCCCGAGUUGUAAUCUAGAGAAGUGUUUUCCGUGUCGGACCGUGUAUAAGUUCCCUGGAACGGGGCGUCAUAGAGGGUGAGAAUCCCGUAUAUGCCGCGGACUACCGAUGCUCUGUGAUACACUCUCAACGAGUCGAGUUGUUUGGGAAUGCAGCUCAAAAUGGGUGGUAAAUUCCAUCUAAAGCUAAAUAUUGGCGAGAGACCGAUAGCGAACAAGUACCGUGAGGGAAAGAUGAAAAGCACUUUGGAAAGAGAGUGAAACAGUACGUGAAAUUGUUGAAAGGGAAGCGUUUGAAGUCAGUCACGUUUGUUGGGAUUCAGCCUGGCUUCUGCCUGGUGUAUUUCCUAGCCGACGGGUCAGCAUCAGUUUCGACCAAGGGAAAAAGACAUUUGGAAUGUGGCUGUCUUCGGGCAGUGUUAUAGCCUUGUGUUGUAUGCCUUGGUUGGGACUGAGGAAUGCAGCGCGCCUUAUGGCCGGGGGUCGCUCCUCUCGACACGCGCUUAGGAUGCUGGCAUAAUGGCUUUAAGCGACCCGUCUUGAAACACGGACCAAGGAGUCUAACAUGUGCGCGAGUGUUUGGGUGUAAAACCCGAGCGCGAAAUGAAAGUGAAAGGUCGGGAACAUUCAUUUGUGCACCGACGCCCGGAGCAGACCUUCUGUGACGCAUCCGCGGUAGAGCGUGUAUGUUGGGACCCGAAAGAUGGUGAACUAUGCCUGAAUAGGGUGAAGCCAGAGGAAACUCUGGUGGAGGCUCGUAGCGAUUCUGACGUGCAAAUCGAUCGUCAAAUUUGGGUAUAGGGGCGAAAGACUAAUCGAACCAUCUAGUAGCUGG
rnacentral:rRNA from 1 species